UGGUGAAAAUGUUGUAAAGAUGCUGUGAAGAUUAUUGAAAUGACAACAGAAGGAUUUAGAAUAUUCCAUAAACUUAGUUAAUAAACAAUGGCAGAAUUUGAGAUCAGCUCCACGUUUGAAAAAUUAUGCAGUGGGUAAAAUGCUAUCAAACUCAAUUGCACGAUACAGAGAAGUAAUUCACAAAAGGAAGAGUCAAUUGAUACAGAAAAUUGUUGUCUUAUUUUAAGGAUUUAGAACAGCCACCCCAGUCUUCAGCAACCACCAUCCUGAUUAGUCAACAGCCAUCAACAUCGAGGCAAAACCCUCCAACAGCAAAAACAUUACAAAUUGCUAAAAGUUCAGGUAAUGGUUAGCAUUUUUUAGCAAUGACUUAUUUUUUAAAUUAAGGAAUAUUUAUUUAGGCAUAAUGCUAUUGCACACUUAAUAGACUAUGAUAUAGUGUAAACAAAACUUUUAUAUACAUCGAGAAAUCAAAAAUUUGUGACUUGCUUUAUUGCAAUAUUUGCUUUAUUGUGGUAUUCUGGAACCAAACCUGCAAUAUCUCCAAAGCAUUCCUGUAUAUGUUAAAAAAUGAUUGGAGUGAAUUGAGUGUCAUCACAGAAAACAAUUAAUAUCUAGUUCAGACUGGUUUUUAUGGUGAUGUUAAUUGAAAGAGGAGAGCAUAGAGCUUUAUUUACACUUGAGAAGAAUGAAAUCCAGUGGGAAGUUUGCAGAUAGAUUUGCAGAGGAACAGGGAUGGUGCGAGGGAAUCUGAAAGAUCAGGCUGGAGAGAUAUGCCAGGGUUUUGUCAGGUAGCUCAAAAUGUUUGAAUUAGAUUUUUAAUAAAUAUUGGUACAUUUUAGCAUCUCUAACAUUGUAUUUCUUAGAGAUCAAUAGAGCCAAAGCAUGGUUUGUGAAAAGGUAAGUGGUUCUGACAGAAGGAUAGAGAGAGUGCUAACAGACAGGAGAGGAGCUGCUUUUUAAUAUGGUAAUAGAGUUUAUUAGAUUAUCUAAAUCAAACCAAAGCAUAUUGUCUUAGAGAAUAAACCUGAUUAAUGAGGAAUGGCAAAUAAAAUGUAUAGGGACAUAGGAUAGAAUUUCUGAAGACUUUCAGUUUCUAUUGUCUUAAAGCAGUAGGUGUUGUGACAGCCCCUUAGUCUUUUGGAAGCUGUUUUUUCUUGGUAGAAGUCUAUUAGAAAAGACUUGAGGAAAUAGGCCAUGGUAAUUAUCUGCCAUACAGUAAAAGAAAAUUGAAAACUGUUGGCAUAAAGUAACAUUUAUAAAUUGAUGAAUUAGAGCAAUCUGAGGUAUGAUUUUAUGUGUAGGACAUAAAAAUGCCUAUUAUAGUGUAACAUUAGAUUAGUGAUUUCUGGAGUGUGGUUUCUGGACCAAAACCAUCAGUACCACCUAGGCACUUGUUAGAAAUGUAGUAAAGUUUUGGACUCAGCUCAGGCACACCGAAUCGGAAUAGGGCCUGCGCCAUCUGUGUUUUAACGAGCCCUUCAGGGGAUUCUGAUGCAUUGUAAAGUAUAAAAACAGACUUAGAAUAUUACUGUCCUGUCUUGUACCAGCAAGUAAAUAAAAUUCUAUAUAUGUUAUUCUGUUCAAGAGUUGUGUCCUUAUAGAGUGCUUUAGUCAGUUAAACUAUCCAUAUUAGAAUGUUUAAAGGGUAGAGUUGAUACGAGAUUAAAAUCAGAGCAUGUGGUGGUUAGAUGUCAUUAAAAUUUAAAAGGAUAGUUCUCUAUUCUGUGCUGACACUGGAGAAACCCAGGUUGUAAGAGUACAGUGUUUUAGAUAUAUUAAUUUAUCUUUCCUUUUUUUUUAUUUUUGGUACCAUUUGUUAACAUUUAGCCAAUGAAUCUGGGAGUGUUAAGUUUGACAGACUAAGAAUAGACUUAGGUAAUUGUUAGUAAUUGGUCUGGAAUGUCACUUGGAAUAGUAUCAAAAUGGGUCUCUGAUAGAGGUGAGAAAAGAAUUUGUGCCUGUCUUAGAUUUGAGCAGGAAUUGAAUCUGUUUUUCCAGUAGUUAUGUGGGUCAUAGUUUGAAAGUCAUUGUUGUAAUACAGGUAAAAUGUGUUUUUCUCAGACACAGUCUUAGGGUUUAGAUUUUUGUUAUACAUAAUGAGCAUUUAAACACAAAUGUUUAAAGGAGAGAGUUAAAUCUUAAACUUGGAAGCACUUAAAGUAUUACUUUAAUUUAUACAUUCAGUUAUAUAUUUUAAUUUUAUUUAGAACUCUCAUUUUAAGAGAAAACUAAAUGAGACUACAGAAAUUAGUUGAGAAAUUGGCCUAUGGUGUAAAAUGAUUUGAUGUAUAAUGU